rnacentral:pre_miRNA from 1 species
UUUAGGUACAGUCAUAAAUUUCCUGUAUCUAAUUUUGAUUAUUCAUCUUAUUUAAAAUUUUGUAAUUAAUAUCUUUAUUAUUAUUAUAUAAUAAAACAUGAAUAGUUCUUUAUACGUGAUUUAUGUUUUUUAUUUUUUUAAUUUUUUUAAAUAAAAUAAAAGAUUAAAGUUGAACACGGAAAUUC